CAGAAGAAGCGCCGGCUAACUACGUGCCAGCAGCCGCGGUAAUACGUAGGGCGCAAGCGUUGUCCGGAAUUAUUGGGCGUAAAGAGCUCGUAGGCGGUCUGUCGCGUCGGAUGUGAAAGCCCGGGGCUUAACCCCGGGUCUGCAUUCGAUACGGGCAGACUAGAGUGUGGUAGGGGAGAUCGGAAUUCCUGGUGUAGCGGUGAAAUGCGCAGAUAUCAGGAGGAACACCGGUGGCGAAGGCGGAUCUCUGGGCCAUUACUGACGCUGAGGAGCGAAAGCGUGGGGAGCGAACAGGAUUAGAUACCCUGGUAGUCCACGCCGUAAACGGUGGGAACUAGGUGUUGGCGACAUUCCACGUCGUCGGUGCCGCAGCUAACGCAUUAAGUUCCCCGCCUGGGGAGUACGGCCGCAAGGCUAAAACUCAAAGGAAUUGACGGGGGCCCGCACAAGCAGCGGAGCAUGUGGCUUAAUUCGACGCAACGCGAAGAACCUUACCAAGGCUUGACAUACACCGGAAAGCAUUAGAGAUAGUGCCCCCCUUGUGGUCGGU
rnacentral:rRNA from 1 species